UUCCUACGGGGGGCAGCAGUGGGGAAUAUUGCACAAUGGGCGCAAGCCUGAUGCAGCGACGCCGCGUGGAGGAUGACGGCCUUCGGGUUGUAAACUCCUUUCAGCAGGGAAGAAGCGCAAGUGACGGUACCUGCAGAAGAAGCGCCGGCUAACUACGUGCCAGCAGCCGCGGUAAUACGUAGGGCGCAAGCGUUGUCCGGAAUUAUUGGGCGUAAAGAGCUCGUAGGCGGUGUGUCGCGUCUGCUGUGAAAACGCAAGGCUCAACCUUGGGCUUGCAGUGGGUACGGGCACACUAGAGUGCGGUAGGGGUGACUGGAAUUCCUGGUGUAGCGGUGGAAUGCGCAGAUAUCAGGAGGAACACCGAUGGCGAAGGCAGGUCACUGGGCCGCAACUGACGCUGAGGAGCGAAAGCAUGGGGAGCGAACAGGAUUAGAUACCCCAGUAGUC
rnacentral:rRNA from 1 species